CCAAAAAAAAAAAAAAAAAAAAAGGUGAUUGUGAUGAGUGGAAGAAAACUGAUGAUAGCUUUAAUGAUCUAGAAGUGCCUGGAAGAGGAAGACUUCUGUUUUCUACAUGCUUAUUCUCAUGGAGGUACCCAACUAAAAAUAUCAAUCUCCUGGAUGAAGCCCACAAUUCCUGUAUGAACUCUGGAGGAAAAGAAAACUGCUCUUGAAGAACUGGUAUGUAAAGACAUAAAAAUCAACUAUUUAUAGAAGCGGUGACUGGCUAAAUACUAGAAAAACUCAGGAAAUUUUCAUCCAAGUAUAAAACUUAGAGAAUUGGAUUGGAAAUGAUAUUAUUUUCAUGCUGAAAUUGCGUAUCUGAUGCUGUAUGCUGUAUUCUGUAAUGUUAUCCUCAGCACACUUUCAGGGAUAUGAUGAACUGCAAAGUUCACUGAAAGUUUAUUUCAAAAUAGUGGUUCAGUGAAGAAGGUGGCAUCAAUAUAUCCCAUUGGAAAAGCUAGUUAAUUUUAGUGUUAAUAGGAAGUACAGUUGGUCUCCUUA
rnacentral:lncRNA from 1 species